AUUUUUUUAAUUUAAACACUUUGUUUUUUUUUUCCCCCAAGUCACCUCUUGCACAUUUCUAAAUAGGAAGCAAGAAUUGGUACAAACCUGCUGUCAUUGCAACAUCCCCCGGGCUUCUUGAUGAGCUGCAGAAAGCUGCAAACGCUCCCAUGGUUGAGAACUGAGCAGAUCCCUGCCCCUGCUGCUUAGAGAGGUUGUGUUGGAUUACAAUAACAGCAGGGAGAAGCAAGGCAUAGCAGCAGCUUCGCUUAUUGCUGGCAAGCCAGGCUUUGCUCAGCAGUCUUCCUGCCCUAUGUUAACUUGGAAAGACUUCUCUUGAAAAUUAGUCUGAUAGAAGUGCAGCUCAGCAGCAGUGUUACCAUCAACUGAGGGGUAACAGAUCACCCCAGCCACUGCUGAGCUGCUGCUGCUGUACUCAGGACUGAAAUAUGCAUCUGGCCACAGCAGAGGUUGUGAUCUUCCUUUUUUUCCCCUCCUGUUAAAUACCAGUGAGAUGGUUCCUGACUUGUCCUACUCCUCACUGCAAUGGGUUAUUUCUCAGCUCUGAUGUUCCUUUUUUACUCUCUUGCAGUGCCCUGGUUUUGUCUCGCCUCCUUAAUCUUUGUUCACCAGCCUAAAGAGGUGGCAUUGUCUGCCUUUAACAAGAAUGAAUGAAAAUGUCAAGGCAAAUCCUAACUGCCAUUGCUUCUUCGGCAAUGAUUAGCUUUAUGCUGACUGAAAUUCCUCAGCUGCACGAGCACAGACACCUCCAAUACUCACGUGCUGUGGUGCCUUCCCAAAGCAGCAGUGCAGGAAGCUUGAUGUGCAGGUGCUAGAGAAAGGGAGAGAGUUUUCCAUGGAACAAAUCCUUUUGCUCUAUGAUUAUAGCUGCUUUCACCAACACGCUUAUAGAGAGAGCAAGGCUCGUGAUUGUUGCUUCAGUUGGGAUGAGCCCUAAACACAGUUAACUGCGUGGUGGCAGUAAGUGAGUUCUGUUCUUAAUAUAUUUGUUUGGGAUAGAAAAAAUAGAAAUAAGUGCAGAACUAAGUGCAUUGGGAGGUGAGAGAAAUU
rnacentral:lncRNA from 1 species